AACACUAAGUACUGUAAGUCUCUCUGGAUAAGAGUGUCUGCUAAAUGACUAGAA
rfam:Salmo salar isolate Sally breed double haploid chromosome ssa18, whole genome shotgun sequence.